CCGCAGCUCGCCUGCCAAGUGGUUUUCUUAAUCAGUUAAUUGGUUGCAUCUGGUGCGUUUCACUUAAAAGGACGUGUGUGUACUGUUCUAUUUCAUUCCUAGGUCUGUUGUGACUUAUUUGACAUCUCUUCCUGUUUCACAGGUUAAAGACUUUUUGAAGUAAAGAGGAGCAUCUCAUCUGAACCUGAUGUCUAUCAUGGAUUUUUAACUUCAGUUCUGUGAGUAUCCCAACUUAACCAUGAAGAUGAACUGCAAACUGUAAGUCAUUCAUUUCUAAUUACUCUUGGGCACAUUGAUGUAUUUUGGCUUCCUGGUGAGUUAACCUGUUACCUGAAGGUUGAUCUGAGUAGGAAGGAUGUUUUAUUGGUUCAUGGGUUACUUAGGUGUUUGGUUUAUGUUGGUUUUAAUGAUUUGUUAAAAUGGUUACAGGCUCCAAGGUAUUGUUGUAAGCUGGAGUAAUGGGUUGGGUUCUGAUAUCUUCAGUCUUUUUUUCCAGCUACUCUCCUGAGCUCUGCCUCUUCAUCACAUGAGCGUUGCUUUACUAAUGAGGCUGUGGUCUGAGUGAGCAGAGGUGCAUACUGGGAUACAGAGCUGUCUGAAGUCUACAGGUCUGUAGACACGCCCAGGGGAAACCGAGUGUUUGAGGAACCGUCCUGACGUCAGUUACAUGGACGAGAAUGUUCUUUAAGAUGGAGACAGGGAUUCAGAAGGAGAAACGCCAGUGGGAGAUGAGGGGGCUCCUCAUCUCAACGACUAAAACACAACUUCAGUCUGACACAGAGAAUCAUGGAACACAUUCAACAAUCCCCUCCAGGCAUCGUGACUCCUCAGGAACAGUUUCAUUUCCAAGAAGGUCUUAUUUGGGGCCAUCCCCAUAUGGAUCCUGCUCCUCAAGAGCCACCCCCCUCCACUGGGUGGUCUUCUGAACAGAUGACCUCCUUCCUGUCCUCAGGCUCACUAAAGCUGCACCGUUUGCAUCUGUGAAGGCCCCUCAAUCAGGAAACCACUGGACUACAAAGACAUGACUUCAGAGACGUUGAAUCAACCUGGGACACAUGUUGGAGACGCCAAGCAUAAUCCAUCACCAAUGUGGGACGCCACUGAAGAAUGUUGUACAUAAUUCACGUCUUUGGAGACAUUGGUUGUUCUGUUCUGGGUGCCCUGGCAAGAGAGCUAUGGGUGGAUGAUGGAAUGUUAUUUGGCAUGAGGUUUUUACCCUGCAUGAUUGUUUGGCCUUUUAUGGCUCAGUGGUGUGUGUUCCAUUGGUUUGACAUGAGAUGGAUGAUUUUUAAACAUCGCUAGGGUUCUACUGUGUGUGUGUGUGUGUGUCUCCCACUCACACCUGGCAUGGGGUUCUACGUGUGUGUCCUGGGUUCUGUGUGUGUCCGGCUUGCUUUGACCGUAAUAAUGUUCAUACGGGGUCUGUGUGAUUGGCUUGGGAUAUUGGAAUGGUCAAAUAAAUCAUACCUGAUGGUCGGCCGGCCACACGUUUAGAGCGACGCUCCGGAGCGAUACCAACACACUGGGCAGGAAGGAGAGUACCCAACUCAAGUGUAAAAGGAUGCAAGCGGCGUGUUCAGAUCAGUGACUUCAAACUAGGACUACACCAAUCAGGAUCAAUGGAGGAUGGACACCUAAAGGCAUGCCACAAGGACUCUGAAGUUGGAAAGGGACCUCAAUGGAUGUUCAAGAUGACCUGUAAUGAGACGGCUCUUCCUACCUGGCUGGAUUGAUGGAGAGCCCUGUGGAUCUUGUCUUGCUCUCAGUUGCACGUCUUCUCAGGCUGAACUGUAUUUGUUUCGGACAGGACUAGCUGAACGAUUGGUUCCCUUAAAUCAGAACCAAUCUGGGAACUCAACAACUGAGUGCGCUCUUCGAGCUGAAGUUGUGCUCUUCAGCUGAGGAGGUAAGGAAACCUUCACUGGGGCUUCAAGGUGUAAAGAGGAGAAUGUUUCAAAGUGUUCCAUGGUACUCUGAUGAGGACCGUUGUGUUCCACUGGCUGAGAGGAAGAACCCUCACAUCUUCCUCUUGGCCUUUCUCCUCUGAGAAUCCUGGCGCCAUCUUGAAGGAUAUUCCAGCUCAUGCAACUGAUGUCACGACAGAUUCUCAAACACUUGGUUUCUCCUGAGCGGCGUGUCUAUAGAACUGAAGACUUGAGACGGCACUGUAUCCCAGCAUGCAUCUCUGCUCACUCAGACCACACCCCCAUGAGUAGGAUGCAACAUUCUAGUGAUGGAAAUGUAGAGUUCUAUAAGUAACGAGGGAGCAGACAAAGGUGAUUAGAGGCAUGUCAAGUCUGUAAAUCUUUAAAUCAUGAAGAUGGUUGGAUAGUUCAGGAAUUGGGCUUCUAUUUAUUAUGAGCACUCCUUUCGCUCAGAUUGCCACUUCUCACUGGACCUGUACAUGUGUUGGCUGGCUGUCAUGAUUUGCUGUUGGUGAUGAGGUGGUCAAGGUGACAUUGCAGGGCUAUGGUCGGCUCUCUGUGAGCUCAAUGUUUAGAUUUGCUCUAUAUGGUUUGUACCCUGAAUAAUCUAGAUAAUUGUAAAAUGUAGACACGGUUUUGUAUUGAAUGAUUCCAUUGUUCUUAGGCAAGGAUUUGAGGUUUAAAGUUGUUGUGGGACAAACAUGGUAGUUGGCUUCGUACGGUUUUGAGUGAUAUAACAUGUACACACUGGGUGCAUAAUAAUGUAAAGGUACACUGAAUAGUAGUACCAACAGCAACAAACGGAUCUCCUCAAGGUAAGUCUGUUGGCUGUGUUUAAAUGAAGACCAUCGCUGGACUUCAGGAUCUUCCUCCGUUCAGCUCAAGGUGAGGCGCUGGUUCUGUUUUUUCUUUGGUUGGUUCCGGCAGGAAUGUUCGGAUUCCUGUCGGACGGUUUGUGCUUCCCGCCGUGGAAGUUUCUGAGUGCGGUCACUUGAUUUAGUCCCAAUGGUUAGCAUCGAACGUUGUAGUCUUGACAACCAUUAGAAACCACCUGGCAGUUAGUUGGACGGGAGUCCCCUGAGGGAAUCUGGAGGAACGUUCUGGAUUGUAUUUGCGUAACCUCGAGCCGUUGCUAACGGAAAAAAAAACUCUGUCGGUUUCCAUUGGGAAUUGUUGCCCCUUAUCUUAAACAACUUAAGUUUGAUAUUAAAUACAUACUGACACGUACGUUGUACAAUGUGUUUUAAUUUUCGAUGGUUGCGCCGUACUUUCAACCACGUUGACGGGACUCUCGCUGCGUACGAAACGGCCUUCUACUUGCGGGCCCAUUUUUGACAUCAGUGAAGGCUGAAAAUCAUUUAAAGGCGGAAGAUAAUUUGACAUUUCUUCAACGGAACCCAGCACCUGAAUAUGGCUGAGUAAAUUUGAUUUAAUAUCGAUACUGCUUAGUGUUCUUUGUUACUUCAGCUUUUGUACGUUCUAAAUAUCAUUGUCAUUAAUUGCAACAGAAGUUAAACCCUACCCAAUGGAAUGACGCUAAACAACGACUUUGGUGCCGAGUUACCAACUGGAUAAUAUCAAAGCUAAAAUUAUGGCCGUGCUUUCCACAUGUUACAGUAGAAGAUACUCUAGAAUUGUACAAGGUUAAAAAGGUAACAUGUAGUUUGUCCCAAGGUGUCUGCCUCCUCACCCAGAGCCAGACCUCCACCUCCUCACCCGGAGCCAGACCUCCACCUCCUCACCCGGAGCCAGACCUCCACCUCCUCACCCGGAGCCAGACCUCCACCUCCUCACCCGGAGCCAGACCUCCACCUCCUCACCCGGAGCCAGACCUCCACCUCCUCACCCGGAGCCAGACCUCCACCUCCUGUCAGAAGUCCUCCAGACUGCAGCACCGGACCAGAGGGUAACCAUCAUCAAGCUCAUCUGAAACACUAAAAUCCACGGUAGUUUAGGUCUGGUUUUGAUCAUCUUAUGACUUUAAAUCUGUGCCAAGCUAUGAUUUGAGUUAAUUCAUACAGGGGUUAUGUAGGAGUCAUAUGAGCCAUUAUUGUUACUAGUGCUGCUACGACCGUAGUGGAUGAAUUGCUGAACACGACAAUCUGCAGACGGUGUCUAAUUUAAGUGUUUAAAUAUGUUUAAAUUUGUCUUCCAAUUUACAAGUGAACCUCAGAUGCAGGAGGUGGGGUGUGUUGCGUCCCCAGGUGAUUUACUGCUGAGACCAACUGUGUUUGUUACCAGACCAAGAAUCCAUGUCUGGAGGAGCCUUGCUCAAGGAGCUGAUGGAGGAGCCGUGCUGGAGGAGCUGAUGGAGGAGCCGUGCUGAAGGAGCUGAUGGAGGAGCCGUGCUGUAGGAGCUGAUGGAGGAGUCGUGCUGAAGGCCCCGCCUGGUGGAGGAGCUGAUGGAGGCCCUGCCAGGGGAAGGACGUCUGUCGUGGGCAAGACUUCCGCUGUUUGUUCCAGACCAGGACUCUGUCUGAGCAGAGCUGCUGGAGGAGCUGAGACGCUGGAGGACGACUAGGAAUCGACCAACAAGGAUUCCUCAACGUGUUUCUGAAGCGGAGGCGAGCUGGUAGGGGAGCCAUGAAUCUGGAGGAUGACCAUCACUCUACCAACAAGGAUUACGUUGGGGCCAGACUCGUGCUGUUUGUUCCAGACCAGGACUCUGGCUGAGGAGAGCUGAUGGAGGAGCCAAGACACUGGAGGACGACAUCACUCUACCAACCAGGAUCCUCACCAGGAAUCUGGAGGACUGAUGGAGAAGCCGUGCACCUGGAAGGCAAAUCCUGAGGACCACCAGAACUCUACCAUCAAGGAUUCCUCGCAGAAACACAUGAGCUGAACCUCAACUGUUUGGUCGGGGGCAGACACACCUGAGCUGAACCUGACAUCCUGCUGGUCCCGUCUCCUCAGUUCAUCUUAGCCUCGUCCUCCAGAAGACCUGCUGAGCUCAGCAGUCUGAGGCUGAUGGAUCAAUGACCUCCAGUGGGAGUGAUCUUCUUGACCUCACAUGUAACCGUGUGCUUCCACACGCCUUUCCUUCACGUCUGUCACUAACCUCACUACUUCACUACUCUCUACUGCUUCUUCUUCUUCCUUCUCUGUGGUUCGAACCUUUACACGGAAGGCGCGUCUUCCUGCCCUCAGAGGGUUCAGCGUUAGGGUUGAGAGUCAGGGUUUAGAGUCAGGGACAGAGCUGGUCAGGGAGGACUGCUUUUACACAAACCUCUGCACUUGCUUUCGGAAUGGUGAUGACAUUUUGAAAAGAUUCUUUUGGGAAAAUGUUUCCUAUUCCAUUUACAAAAUUGUAUUCAACUUCUGUCAAGUGCUUUUGUUUGCAUAUUAAAAUCCAACAUUGACUUCUA